CCCUUAGAUGUUCUGGGCUGCACGCGCGCUACACUGAAGCUAUCAACACGUUUUCCCUCCCUGAGAAGGGCGGGUAACCUUUUGAAUCAGCUUCGUGGUAGGGAUCGGGGCUUGCAAUUGUCCCCCGUGAACCAGGAAUUCCUAGUAGACGCGAGUCAUAAGCUCGCAUCGAUUAAGUCCCUGCCCUUUGUACACACCGCCCGUCGCUACUACCGAUUGAACGUUUUAGCGAGGCAUUUGGACCGACGCAUCUCAGUUUAACCGCUGGUUUGUGUUGGAAAGACUUCCAAACUUGAGCGUUUAGAGGAAGUAAAAGUCGUAACA
rnacentral:rRNA from 1 species